rnacentral:rRNA from 1 species
AGGACGAACGCUGGCGGCGUGCUUAACACAUGCAAGUCGAGCGGUAAGGCCCUUCGGGGUACACGAGCGGCGAACGGGUGAGUAACACGUGGGCAACCUGCCCCGUACUCUGGGAUAAGCCCGGGAAACUGGGUCUAAUACCGGAUAUGACCAUGUCCCGCAUGGGGUGUGGUGGAAAGUUCCGGCGGUACGGGAUGGGCCCGCGGCCUAUCAGCUUGUUGGUGGGGUAGUGGCCUACCAAGGCGACGACGGGUAGCCGGCCUGAGAGGGCGACCGGCCACACUGGGACUGAGACACGGCCCAGACUCCUACGGGAGGCAGCAGUGGGGAAUAUUGCGCAAUGGGCGAAAGCCUGACGCAGCGACGCCGCGUGAGGGAUGACGGCCUUCGGGUUGUAAACCUCUUUCAGCAGGGACGAAGCGUGAGUGACGGUACCUGCAGAAGAAGCACCGGCUAACUACGUGCCAGCAGCCGC